CAGUCAUUGAAUGAGGUUGGGGAUUAAAUAAAGCAAGUAACAUCUUGUCAACAUGAUGUACAGGCCAUGGUGAGACGGUUAUGCCUCUGGUGACAUGUCCUGUGCUACAGAGGGGGUUGGAAAAACAGCUGGAGAGCAGCUCCAGGUAAGAAGAGACUCACAAAAUAAGGCAGCUUGGAAGGAAGGGGAAGCAGGAGCUAAUCCUGGAUCAGUCGCCCAAAGUGGCUGAGGAAAAUGACAUCAAGACCAAGGAAUGUAAAAAGAUAGGGCAAGGGAGGACUGUCUCAAGCCUUCAGGCCCAGUCUAAGACUUUUCAUUCCCACAGAGCUGUCACCAGCAGGGGCUGGGACUUCACAGACUCAAAUGCCACAGACAGCCCAGGACCUUGAAAGCAGAAUAUCAUUCACCAACAGGAUGAUUUCAGAAAGGCCUGGAGAGACUUACAUGAACUGAUGCUGAGUGAAAUGAGCAAAACCAGGAGAUCAUUAUGUACUUCAACAACAAUACCAUAUGAUCACUUCUGAUGGACAUGACCAUCUUCACAAUGAGAUGAACCAAAUCAGUUUCAAUAAAGCAGUAAUGAAUAGAACCAGCUACACCCAGCGAAAGAACUCUGGGAGAUGACUAUGAACCAUUACCUAGAAUUCCCAAUCCCUCUAUUUUUGUCCGCCUGCAUUUUUGAUUUCCCUUACAGGCUAAUUGUACACUAUUUCAAAGUCUGAUUCUUUUUGUACAGCAAAAUAACUGUUUGGACAUGUAUGCAUAUAUUGUAUUUAACAUAUACUUUAACAUAUUUAACAUAUAUUGGUCAACCUGCCAUUGGUGGGGAGGUUGGGGGGAAGGAGGGGAAAAAUCGGAACAAAAGGUUUGGUAAUUGUCAAUACUGUAAAAUUACCCAUGCAUAUAACUUGUAAAUAAAAAGCUAUAAUAAGAAAAAGAAAAAAA